UUCUCGCGAGAUCACGCUCCCCCCCUCAACACACAACCUGCGCCGCGUUGUCCUUUUGUUCGCCGCCCUCGCGAGAGCGCCCCGCGCGAGCGCGCGGCGAGACGCCUCUAGAAGGAGGCGGGCCCUGAGUCACGUGGGCGGGCGCCGUCGCCAUCUUGUCGCUCCCCCCUCGGCGGGCAGUGGCGCAGCGCGUAAUGGCGGCGCGGCGGGAGGAGGGGCUGGUCCAGAACACAUCGGUCUUCUUGCCCCAAGUGCCGGCCCCGACACACCAACCUGCGGCUCUGCAGGCCUCAGACCGUACCCUGUGCUUACUACCCAGCGGCACAUGGCUGUGAGCCCCUCAUCCCAGGGUGGCUCCUGCCUCUUCCAAGAAGAAAACCACAGGAAAGUGCAUUCUCCAGAAGGAUGAUUCACCAUGGGAGUUAAAAACAAGACUGAACUUUUCCACACUAUUCAUGCAUUAAACAGCCCAUCUUUG